CCUACGGGAUGCAGCAGUGGGGAAUAUUGCACAAUGGGCGCAAGCCUGAUGCAGCCAUGCCGCGUGUAUGAAGAAGGCCUUCGGGUUGUAGAGUACUUUCAGCGAGGAGGAAGGCAUUAAGGUUAAUAACCUUGGUGAUUGACGUUACUCGCAGAAGAAGCACCGGCUAACUCCGUGCCAGCAGCCGCGGUAAUACGGAGGGUGCAAGCGUUAAUCGGAAUUACUGGGCGUAAAGCGCACGCAGGCGGUCUGUCAAGUCGGAUGUGAAAUCCCCGGGCUCAACCUGGGAACUGCAUUCGAAACUGGCAGGCUAGAGUCUUGUAGAGGGGGGUAGAAUUCCAGGUGUAGCGGUGAAAUGCGUAGAGAUCUGGAGGAAUACCGGUGGCGAAGGCGGCCCCCUGGACAAAGACUGACGCUCAGGUGCGAAAGCGUGGGGAGCAAACAGGAUUAGAUACCCUCGUAGUC
rnacentral:rRNA from 1 species